UACGUAGGGGGCAAGCGUUGUCCGGAUUUAUUGGGCGUAAAGAGCGUGUAGGCGGCCAGGUAGGUCUGCUGUGAAAACUCGAGGCUUAACCUCGAGCUGUCGGCGGAAACCAUCUGGCUAGAGUCCGGAAGAGGAGAAUGGAAUUCCCGGUGUAGCGGUGAAAUGCGCAGAUAUCGGGAAGAACACCCGUGGCGAACGCGGUUCUCUGGGACGGUACUGACGCUGAGACGCGAAAGCGUGGGGAGCGAACAGG
rnacentral:rRNA from 1 species